GUCUUUGUAGUAUACUAAAUACACUGGUCUUGUAAGCCAAAAAAGGAGUACAACCAAUCUCCCUAAGACU
rnacentral:tRNA from 5 species